UACAGAGGGGGCAAGCGUUGUUCGGAAUUACUGGGCGUAAAGGGCGCGUAGGCGGCCUGUUAAGUCGAACGUGAAAUCCCCGGGCUCAACCCGGGAACUGCGUCCGAUACUGGCAGGCUUGAAUCCGGGAGAGGGAUGCGGAAUUCCAGGUGUAGCGGUGAAAUGCGUAGAUAUCUGGAGGAACACCGGUGGCGAAGGCGGCAUUCUGGACUGCAACUGACACUGAUGAACGAAAGCCAGGGGAGCAAACGGG
rnacentral:rRNA from 1 species